AUUGACCUCAAAUCAGGUAGGGCUACCCGCUGAA
rnacentral:rRNA from 2 species